CUCUGUUUCUAAAGGGAUCAGGGCAAAAAGGAG
rnacentral:ncRNA from 1 species